UAAAUGCGAAAUUUUAAUAUGUUAUAUUUCUAGGUACGUUUUAAAUAGAAAGUUUCUUUGCUUUUUGUUUGUGGCGACUUCUGCACAAAACUUUAUUUAUGAUUACUUACAUUUAUACCUACUAAUAAAUAAUUCACAUACUUACACCAUACAAUGGUAAUAUUAACAUUAAUGGGUUUCUAUGGAGUAGAUGAGAGAACUUUAGACAUAAUAUUUAAUGAAAUAACCAAAUAAUUAACACAGAAAUCAUACUCAAUCAAAUUGAAGUGCCUUAUAUCCGAGAUUUUUGUACUUACGAAUUUGUGUAGAACAAAAAGCGAGAAGGUAAUGUGAAUUACCUAAUUAAUUUGACUGAAUUGUAAUUUUAUCCUUCAGUGUAACUCCAUAAUGACAUUUGAAAAUGACUGUGUUCAUCUGUGUAU